AUUUGUCUGGUUAAUUCCGAUAACGAACGAGACCUUAACCCUGCUAACUAGAUUCUUUUAUUUUAUAACUGAUAUCUUCUUAGAGGGACUAUGUAAUCUAAAUACAUGGAAGUUUGAGGCAAUAACAGGUCAGUGAUGCCCUUAUAUGUCCUGGGCUGCACGCGUGCUACACUGAUGCAUACAACAAGUGCCUAACCAGACAUGGUAUGGCAAUCUCGAAUAUGCAUCGUGAUGGGGAUAGAUCUUUGCAAUUAUAGAUCUUGAACGAGGAAUUCCUAGUAAGUGCAAGUCAUCAUCUUGCAUUGAUUAUGUCCCUGCCCUUUGUACACACCGCCCGUCGCUCCUACCGAUACCGGGUGAUCCGGUGAACCUUUUGGACCUGUAUGGGGAAGAUAAGUAAACCAUAUCACCUAGAGGAAGGAGAAGUCGUAACAAGGUUUCCGUAGGUGAACCUGCRGAAGGAUCA
rnacentral:rRNA from 1 species